rnacentral:rRNA from 1 species
UACGAAGGGUGCAAAGCGUUGCUCGGAAUUAUUGGGCGUAAAGCGCACGUAGGCGGCCCAGCAAGUCGGAAGUGAAAUCCCACGGCUCAACCAUGGAAGUGCUUUCGAAACUGCUGGGCUUGAGUACAAAAGAGGAUCGCGGAAUUCCCGGUGUAGAGGUGAAAUGCGCAGAUAUCAGGAGGAACACCAAUGGCGAAGGCAGCUCGCUGGAACGGUACUGACGCUGAGACGCGAAAGCGUGGGGAGCAAACAGGG